AUUGAACGCUGGCGGCAGGCCUAACACAUGCAAGUCGAACGAGUGGCGGACGGGUGAGUAAUGUCUGGGUAACUGCCCGAUGGAGGGGGCUAACGACUGGAAACGGUAGCUAAUCCCGCAUACUAUCGGAUGUGCCCAGGUUGGAGUAGCUGGUAGGUGAGGUAACGGCUCACCUAGGCGACGAUCCCUAGCUGGUCUGAGAGGAUGACCAGGCACACUGUAACGGGGACACGGGCCAGACUCCUAAGGGAGGCAGCAGUGGGAAAUGUUGGACAAUGGACGCAAUCCUGAUGCAGCCAUGCCGCGUGUGUGAGGAGGGCCUUCGGAUUGUAAAGUACUUUCAGCAGGGAGGCGUUACCAGCAGAAUAAGCACCGGCUAACUCCGUGCCAGCAGCCGCGGUAAUAC
rnacentral:rRNA from 1 species